CGUUAGUGUUUUAGCUAGCUUGUUGCUAAGGUUAGCAAGCUCACCGCUAGCUUUAGUUCUCUCCCCAGUAACAUUAGUGUGCUAGCUAGCUUGUUACUAAGGUUAGCAAGCUUGUUGCUAGCUUUUGUUCUCUUCCUGGUAACAUUAGUGUAUUAGCUAGCUUGUUGCUAAGGUUAGCAAGCUCGUUGCUAGCUUUAGUUCUCUCCCCGCUAACAUUAGUGUGUUAGCUAGCUUGUUGCUAAGGUUAGCAAGCUCGUUGCUAGCUUUAGUUCUCUCCCCGCUAACAUUAGUGUGUUAGCUAGCUUGUUGCUAAGGUUAGCAAGCUUGUUGCUGGCUUUUGUUCUCUCCCUGGUAACAUUAAUGUAUUAGCUAGCUUGUUGAUAAGGUUAGCAACCUCGUUGCUAGCUUUAGUUCUCUCCCCGGUAAUGUUAGUGUGUUAGCUAGCUUGUUGUUAAGGUUAGCAUGCUCAUUGCUAGCUUUAGUUCUUUCCCUGGUAACAUUAGUGUGUUAUCUAGCGUGUUGCUAAGGUUAACAAGCUCAUUGCUAGCUUCAGUUCUUUCCCUGGUAACAUAAGUGUUUUAUCUAGCAUGUUGCUAAGGUUAGCAAGCUCGUCACUAAGGUGAGUGCUCUCCUCGAUAACAUUAGUAUGUUGGUUAGUUCGCCGCUAACAUUAGUUACAUUACUAGUUUGUACUUUUCUCUAAUUUUUUUCAAAUGUCUGGAAAAUUAGUUGUGGUCCCUGAGGUUUCGAAAUGUGUCAGAAUUGGCUCUGUGCACAAGAUGGCGCCACCUAACUUCCGGGUAGUGAGUGGUAGGUAUACUAGUUUCCGGUUGGAGUUGUUGUGGGGAGAACUGCGGGCAGGAGUACAGAGUGAAAGCGACCAUGAGUGUUUUUAAAGUUAAGGAGAAACGAAAAACACAAAACAAAAAAAAAUGACUGUGUUAUUUUUAUAAUUAAAGGAUCCUCUAUAAAAAAUUGGAGAC